rnacentral:rRNA from 1 species
GACGAACGCUGGCGGCGUGCUUAACACAUGCAAGUCGAACGGAAAGGCCUUUUCGGAGGUACUCGAGCGGCGAACGGGUGAGUAACACGUGGGUGAUCUGCCCUGCACUCUGGGAUAAGCCUGGGAAACUGGGUCUAAUACCGGAUAGGACCGCACUUUAGUGUGUGUGGUGGAAAGUUUUUUCGGUGUAGGAUGAGCCCGCGGCCUAUCAGCUUGUUGGUGGGGUAAUGGCCUACCAAGGCGGCGACGGGUAGCCGGACUGAGAGGUUGGUCGGCCACAUUGGGACUGAGAUACGGCCCAGACUCCUACGGGAGGCAGCAGUGGGGAAUAUUGCACAAUGGGCGCAAGCCGGAUGCAGCGACGCCGCGUGGGGGAUGACGGCCUUCGGGUUGUAAACUCCUUUCGCCAGGGACGAAGCGUUUUGUGACGGUACCUGGAGAAGAAGCACCGGCUAACUACGUG